rnacentral:rRNA from 1 species
GUCCACGCCGUAAACGAUGGAUACUAGCUGUCCGGCGCAAGCUGGGUGGCUAAGCGAAAGUGAUAAGUAUCCCACCUGGGGAGUACGUUCGCAAGAAUGAAACUCAAAGGAAUUGACGGGGGCCCCGCACAAGCGGUGGAGCAUGUGGUUUAAUUCGAUGAUACGCGAGGAACCUUACCAGGGCUUAAAUGUAGAUUGCAUUAGGUGGAGACACCUAUUUCUUCGGACCAUCUACAAGGUGCUGCAUGGUUGUCGU